CUCUAGUGGGAGGGGUCGCGGCCCUUAGUGUCAGUGAGGAUUUUAAUGAUAUUUUUGACUUGGGAACUUAAAGGGUAAGGCUCGGGAUGGAUUUUAUCAUUCGGAUUGAUAGAAUUCAAGAUCCCGGAGGUUAGGGUUACGGUUUGGGGUUAUUUGUUGGGUUGGAAUUUGAUGGUCGAAUAUUGUUAUGUGUUGUGACUAGGAUUUCGGCAAGGCUCACGUUAGUGGACUGUGCUCGGGACAUCGGUGCUCGGAAAGCUCGGAACUCAGGUAAAAGGGUACAGAAGUGAUCCACCAACCAUGAGUACAGCAGGCGUGAGGCGGCGUGUACAUGUUCGGCCAGCCUGGCCGCCACGGCCAGAGUAUUUUGGGAGAUGCUUGUAGAUAAACUCUGGUUUUGUCGUCUAGUCGACCUGGUUUAAUUAAUAUGUUGAAAACAUUCCUAAACUGUAUUUUGGGAUCCCAAGUGUAAACCCUUCUAUGAUUUUCUAUGGAAAUUAAUAUUUCUAAGGUUU